rnacentral:rRNA from 1 species
UGGGGAAUAUUGCACAAUGGAGGGAACUCUGAUGCAGCGACGCCGCGUGAACGAAGAAGGCUUUCGAGUCGUAAAGUUCUUUUAUAUGGGAAGAUAAUGACGGUACCAUAAGAAAAAGCCCCGGCUAACUACGUGCCAGCAGCCGCGGUAAUACGUAGGGGGCUAGCGUUGUCCGGAAUCACUGGGCGUAAAGGAUUCGCAGGCGGAAAUGCAAGUCAGGUGUAAAAGGCAGUAGCUUAACUACUGUAAGCAUUUGAAACUGCAUAUCUUGAGAAGAGUAGAGGUAAGUGGAAUUUUUAGUGUAGCGGUGAAAUGCGUAGAUAUUAAAAAGAAUACCGGUGGCGAAGGCGACUUACUGGGCUCAUUCUGACGCUGAGGAACGAAAGCGUGGGUAGCAAACAGG